UCAGUGAAAUCGAGUAGGGCGGGACACGUGAUAUCCUGUCUGAAUAUGGGGGGACCAUCCUCCAAGGCUAAAUACUACUGACUGACCGAUAGUGAACCAGUACCGUGAGGGAAAGGCGAAAAGAACCCCUGUGAGGGGAGUGAAAUAGAACCUGAAACCGUGUACGUACAAGCAGUAGGAGCAGGCUUUGUCCUGUGACUGCGUACCUUUUGUAUAAUGGGUCAGCGACUUAUAUUCAGUGGCAAGGUUAACCAUCUAGGGGAGCCGUAGGGAAACCGAGUCUUAACUGGGCGUUCAGUCUCUGGAUAUAGACCCGAAACCAGGUGAUCUAGCCAUGGGCAGGUUGAAGGUUGAGUAACAUCAACUGGAGGACCGAACCGACUAAUGUUGAAAAAUUAGCGGAUGACUUGUGGCUAGGGGUGAAAGGCCAAUCAAACCUGGAGAUAGCUGGUUCUCCCCGAAAGCUAUUUAGGUAGCGCCUCGGACGAAUACUACUGGGGGUAGAGCACUGUUAAGGCUAGGGGGUCAUCCCGACUUACCAACCCUUUGCAAACUCCGAAUACCAGUAAGUACUAUCCGGGAGACACACGGCGGGUGCUAACGUCCGUCGUGGAGAGGGAAACAACCCAGACCGCCAGCUAAGGUCCCAAAUUACUACUAAGUGGGAAACGAUGUGGGAAGGCUCAGACAGCCAGGAUGUUGGCUUAGAAGCAGCCAUCAUUUAAAGAAAGCGUAAUAGCUCACUGGUCGAGUCGGCCUGCGCGGAAGAUGUAACGGGGCUAAGUAGUAAACCGAAGCUGCGGCAAUAUACUUUUGUAUAUUGGGUAGGGGAGCGUUCUGUAAGCGGUUGAAGGUGUGUGGUAACGCAUGCUGGACGUAUCAGAAGUGCGAAUGCUGACAUGAGUAACGAUAAAGGGGGUGAAAAACCUCCUCGCCGGAAGACCAAGGGUUCCUGUCCAACGUUAAUCGGGGCAGGGUAAGUCGACCCCUAAGGCGAGGCCGAAAGGCGUAGUCGAUGGGAAACGGGUUAAUAUUCCCGUACUUCUUACAAUUGCGAUGGGGGGACGGAGAAGGCUAGGUGGGCCUGGCGACGGUUGUCCAGGUUCAAGUGCGUAGGCUUAAGAGUUAGGUAAAUCCGGCUCUUUUUAAGGCUGAGACACGACGUCGAGCACCUACGGGUGUGAAGUCAUUGAUGCCAUGCUUCCAGGAAAAGCCUCUAAGCUUCAGAUUGUAAGGAAUCGUACCCCAAACCGACACAGGUGGUCGGGUAGAGAAUACCAAGGCGCUUGAGAGAACUCGGGUGAAGGAACUAGGCAAAAUGGUACCG
rnacentral:rRNA from 1 species